rnacentral:pre_miRNA from 1 species
CUUUUACUCCCUCCGUCCGAAAAUACUUGUCAUUGAAAUGGAUGUAUCUAGAUGAAUUUUAGUUCUAGACACAUCCAUUUUGAUGACAAGUAAUUUCGGACGGAGGGAGUACUUG